CCUACGGGUGGCAGCAGUGAGGAAUAUUGGUCAAUGGGCGCAAGCCUGAACCAGCCAAGUAGCGUGAGGGAUGACGGCCCUACGGAUUGUAAACUUCUUUUAUAAGGGAAUAAAGUGUGGCACGUGUCCUUUUUUGUAUGUACUUUAUGAAUAAGGAUCGGCUAACUCCGUGCCAGCAGCCGCGGUAAUACGGAGGAUCCGAGCGUUAUCCGGAUUUAUUGGGUUUAAAGGGUGCGUAGGCGGCUUUUUAAGUCAGUGGUGAAAGUUUGUGGCUCAACCAUAGAAUUGCCGUUGAUACUGGGAGGCUUGAGUAUAUUUGAGGUAGGCGGAAUGCGUGGUGUAGCGGUGAAAUGCUUAGAUAUCACGCAGAACCCCGAUUGCGAAGGCAGCCUGCCAAGCCGUGACUGACGCUGAUGCACGAAAGCGUGGGGAUCAAACAGGAUUAGAUACCCGUGUAGUC
rnacentral:rRNA from 1 species